ACUCCUACGGGAGGCAGCAGUGGGGAAUAUUGCACAAUGGGCGCAAGCCUGAUGCAGCCAUGCCGCGUGUAUGAAGAAGGCCUUCGGGUUGUAAAGUACUUUCAGCAGUGAGGAAGGGUGAGUAUANGNGCUCUUUGACGUUAGCUGCAGAAGAAGCACCGGCUAACUCCGUGCCAGCAGCCGCGGUAAUACGGAGGGUGCGAGCGUUAAUCGGAAUUACUGGGCGUAAAGCGCAUGCAGGUGGUUUGUUAAGUCAGAUGUGAAAGCCCGGGGCUCAACCUCGGAAUAGCAUUUGAAACUGGCAGACUAGAGUACUGUAGAGGGGGUAGAAUUUCAGGUGUAGCGGUGAAAUGCGUAGAGAUCUGAAGGAAUACCGGUGGCGAAGGCGGCCCCCUGGACAGAUACUGACACUCAGAUGCGAAAGCGUGGGGAGCAAACAGGAUUAGAUACCCUGGUAGCUACG
rnacentral:rRNA from 1 species